rnacentral:rRNA from 1 species
UGGGGAAUAUUGCACAAUGGGCGCAAGCCUGAUGCAGCCAUGCCGCGUGUAUGAAGAAGGCCUUCGGGUUGUAAAGUACUUUCAGCGGGGAGGAAGGGAGUAAAGUUAAUACCUUUGCUCAUUGACGUUACCCGCAGAAGAAGCACCGGCUAACUCCGUGCCAGCAGCCGCGGUAAUACGGAGGGUGCAAGCGUUAAACGGAAUUACUGGGCGUAAAGCGCACGCAGACGGUUGAUUGAGUCAGAUGUGAAAUCCCCGGGCUUAACCCGGGAAUUGCAUCUGAUACUGGGCAGCUAGAGUCUUGUAGAGGGGGGUAGAAUUCCAUGUGUAGCGGUGAAAAGCGUAGGGAUGUGGAGGAAUACCGGUGGCGAAGGCGGCCCCCUGGACAAAGACUGACGCUCAGGUGUGAAAGCGUGGGGAGCAAACAGG